rnacentral:rRNA from 1 species
AGAAUCAACGCUGGCGGCGUGCCUAACACAUGCAAGUCGAACGAGAAAGUGGAGCAAUCCAUGAGUACAGUGGCGUACGGGUGAGUAACACGUGACUACCUACCCUCGAGUGGGGAAUAACCUCGGGAAACCGGGGCUAAUACCGCAUAACAUCUACGGAUCAAAUGCGAAAGCAGCUUGAGGAGGGGGUCGCGGCCGAUUAGCUAGUUGGUGAGGUAAUGGCCCACCAAGGCAAUGAUCGGUA